rnacentral:lncRNA from 1 species
UUGGAUUGAUUGAAUCAGUGUUAAGCUCUCUGAGAUGGUAUCAGAUUUUUUUCAUUGUUAACCGCUUCCUGUUAAUCCGAUUGUCUUCUUCCGCGAUCGUAUUCUUUUCGCGAUUUGCGUCUGGAUCUUGCGUAAUUUGACGGAUUCCAGUUCACCGAAUCCGUCUAGUCUUGUGCUCACAUUCUCUCCAGUUCACGUGGAUUCAAGAUCGGUUGUCGUUCGUGUGCAGCGCGUGGAUUUCUCGCCAAUUGAUUGCAAUAUGCAAUUGCAACUGGUUUGAUUUUUUUAAUUAAUUCAAUCUGCGUGAGUAUGUGUGCGAUUGCAAUCUGCGUGCGUUUUUAUUUUAAUCUGCGUGUGAUUACAAUCGGUUUUGCAUUUGUUUGCGUUUACAGAUUUACCUAUUUGUUUGCGUGUGAUUUGUCUGUGUGAUCUGCGUGAAUAUUCAAUAUUUAAUGUUCGAUUUACCGAUUUACAGAUCGAUUUGCGUUUCCGUAUUUGAUUUGGUUUGCUUCGCGUGAUUUGAUUUAUCGAUUUUCGAUUUCAUUUCUGUGAUUCAAUCUGAUUUCCUUGUGAUUAGAUUUGAUUUAUCGAUUGAUUUUCGAUUUCUCAGCUUACAAUUUCCGAUUGUUUUUCAUCUUCGAUUUCGUUUCGGGGUUUUGAUUUCUUUAUUUUGAUUUCGUUUUCGAGUUAUUUCGAUUUUCGUUUCCGUGUGAUCGAUCUGAUUUGCGUGCGUCGGGAUUGAUUUGCGUUACAGAGUGUAUUGAAGUUACUGAAAUUCUGGAGAAAUAGGCUCAAGAUCAGGAGAAAGAAGAUGAGGAAUUGAUGAUCCUUUUGUUAUUCAUUCAUCUGUUUAUAUACACAUGUUUGAUCUAUUAUCAUUAUUAGUUAUACAACAGAUUCAUUUAUAUCUAAUUAACUAUCUGUUACAACAGAGUGUUUUCUGUUUACAGAUUGAGUUAGAGUUUUUUUUCUUCUUCUUUUAUUUCUGAAAAUUACAGGUCAUGUGCUAUUUUUUUUCCUCUUGCGAUUACAGGUCAGUGAAUUCAUUUUUUUUUUUGUAAUCACAAUUUCUUCAUCUUUUGAUUUGUAAUUACAGUUUCUUUAUCUUUUUAUUAGUAAUUACAGUUUUGUUUUAGUGGUGAUUGUGAUUUCAGUUUUUUUUUUUCUCAUCUCAAAUUUCUUUUGGGAUUGAUAGUUAUUUACGAUUGCUAGUUACAUAGUACUGAACAGUAAAUCAAUUGUGAUUUGCAGAUUGUUUGAUUGUUUGGGAUAAGUUUUUUUAAUAUAUCGUAUUGUCUAGAAGUUUUAUCGCAUUUCAUUUACGAUUCAUUUAGAAAUCUGUAGUGGUGAAAUUUGUUUUAAUUUUUCACUGCAGUGAUUUCUGAUUUUGUUUCCCCGAUGGCAAAUCAUGAUAAGGCCACUCUCCCCGAUGCUCUAUAUAACAAAUGAUCAACUAUAGAAAUGACAAAAAGAGACACUUCAGUGCUCAGCUCUACGCCUCUAUUUUAACUUCAAAGCAACCUUAGUUGGGUACAUUUGACAAUAUCCCGGCAAGAAAUGACUUGCUCCAAUAUAAUGCCAAGGCAUAGAUUUGAGAGUUGAGAGUGCUGUUUAGAUUUAAUGAAAGGGAUAUUGUGCCAGGAUUCGUUGAUGGAUAAUUGAUCGUGGUUUCCAAAAG